AUAGGAGGGGGAGUAACUCUUGUUGUUUACAAAUGUAUUUUUAACUGUGUCAGGAAAUUGGGACAUUCAAACCACAUGAACCAACUAAAAUAUGGCUAAAACUUCACAGAAUUGUUCAGAAAUGUGUACUUAAGGGAUACAAACUGCAAUAUAAGUGGAAUCUGACAUUAGCUGAUCUAAUAUGGGUCAAUAUCCCUAAUGGACCUUGAGAUGAGGAACACAGAUUUAUGACUCUCAUUAAAAAAUUAGUCCGCCAUACAAUUGUGGAAGCUGUGAUUUUAAAAAUUGACAUAAAUGAACUAGGACUGGUGUUUUAUAGAGCUGAUGUGAUGUGAAAAAAGUAUAAAAAAAUAAACCUGAACAAAUAA